GACCACAUCACUUUAAAACACUGGUUCAUGUACGAUUACCGAAGUUAAGCAAUGUCGAGCCUAGUCAGUACUUAGAAGAGUGACAACUUGAGAAUUCCAUGUGUUGUAA